rnacentral:rRNA from 1 species
CAGCCGCCGCGGUAACACGAAGGGUGCAAGCGUUACUCGGAAUUACUGGGCGUAAAGCGUGCGUAGGUGGUGGUUUAAGUCCGUUGUGAAAGCCCUGGGCUCAACCUGGGAAUUGCAGUGGAUACUGGGUCACUAGAGUGUGGUAGAGGAUAGUGGAAUUUCCGGUGUAGCAGUGAAAUGCGUAGAGAUCGGAAGGAACAUCUGUGGCGAAGGCGACUAUCUGGGCCAACACUGACACUGAGGCACGAAAGCGUAGGGAGCAAACAGGAUUAGAUACCCCAGUAGUCCCUGUCUCUUAUAC